rnacentral:misc_RNA from 1 species
AAGUCGUAACAAGGUUUCCGUAGGUGAACCUGCGGAAGGAUCAUUAAUGAGUUCGGGGGCCUAGCCCCCAGCGGUGGGUGUCUGUCCGAGUCCUCCCGGGCUCGGCCAGUGCUCAUCGUGCAUCUCAACCCCAUGUUUACCUUACCUUUGUUGCUUUGGCGGGCCUUGAGUAGGCUAUACGGCUCAUGCCGGCCCCCAGCGUUUUCUGCUGGGGGGCGGCUUGCGCCCGCCAGAGGUUUAUCCAAAUUCUAUUUAUUAGCGAAGUCUGAGUAAAUAUUAAAUAAUCAAAACUUUCAACAA